GCUCAGAAACUUAAAGGAAUUGACGGGGCCCGCACAAGCGGUGGAGUAUGUGGUUUAAUUUCGAUGCAACGCGAAGAACCUUACCUAGGUUUGACAUCCGGAAGACCUUCCCGAAAAGGAAGGGUGCCCUUCGGGGAAUUCCGAGACAGGUGCUGCAUGGCUGUCGUCAGCUCGUGCCGUGAGGUGUUGGGUUAAGUCCCGCAACGGGCGCAACCCCUAUUGCCAGUUGCUACCAGGUAAUGCUGGGCACUCUGGUGAGACUGCCCCGGUUAACGGGGAGGAAGGUGGGGACGACGUCAAGUCAUCAUGGCCCUUACGCCUAGGGCUACACACGUACUACAAUGGCGCAUACAAAGGGCAGCGAUACCGCGAGGUGGAGCCAAUCCCAAAAAGUGCGUCCCAGUCCGGAUUGCAGUCUGCAACUCGACUGCAUGAAGUUGGAAUCGCUAGUAAUUCGAGAUCAGCAUGCUCGGGUGAAUGCGUUCCCGGGCCUU
rnacentral:rRNA from 1 species